UGGCAAAGUUGUAAUUUUUACUUUAUACAGGUAUAAACUCUCUUUGUAUUAAACAGAUGUGUGCAAUACCCAAAAUGAGAGCAUUAACAAGCAGAGAAAAACAUUUCUGGACUUCUGAAAUGGAAUCUGUGGAAUCAAAUGCUAUUUUGAGAUUUUUAAGUUAUCAUAAUAACAUUGAGACUCCAGCUUCUUUGGAACCUUUCUUUUCUGGAGUUAAAUAACAGAAGUCUGUUACAGGGAAUUCUGUAACUUGUUUUUCCAAAUGGCAGCCAUCCUGUUGCUCUCCACCAGGAGCCACCUGUCUGUAGGGUACUGUGAGUAGUUACACUCUGCUCCAGUGCUGUUCAUUGUGCCUUCAUGUUUGGCUUUGCUGCUCAGCUGCAGUGGCCAUUUUUAAAUGGAGCAGUUGUCUAUGAGCUGUUCAUGAGAGUCUUCUAAAUGGAGACUUUGAAUACAUUAGCACUGAGACUGAGCAUCAAUAAAAAUGAAUGUCAUAUUUGUAGCCUGUGGCAAUUAUUUUUAAAAAUCAUGGAUUCAUGCAGUCUUGAAUCCAGUGUGUAGAGUUCAGUGUGGCAUUAGUGUCAAAAUAUAAAUCAAUGUGUAGAGUUCCAGAGUGGCAUUAGGCAGACAUAGAAUUCAAGCUGGCAUUAAAAAAAAAAAAAGCCCAGCCUCUUCCCACCC